CGCCGGUGCCGCGGCCUGGCGGGCGGCGGCUGCCUGCUGGGCCGCCGCGGCCUGCUGGCGCUGUUCGGCUUCGCGGCGGGCAGC
rnacentral:tRNA from 1 species